GUUUGAUGUUCUAACGUUGACCCGUAAUCCGGGUUGCGGACAGUGUCUGGUGGGUAGUUUGACUGGGGCGGUCUCCUCCUAAAGAGUAACGGAGGAGCACGAAGGUUGGCUAAUCCUGGUCGGACAUCAGGAGGUUAGUGCAAUGGCAUAAGCCAGCUUGACUGCGAGCGUGACGGCGCGAGCAGGUGCGAAAGCAGGUCAUAGUGAUCCGGUGGUUCUGAAUGGAAGGGCCAUCGCUCAACGGAUAAAAGGUACUCCGGGGAUAACAGGCUGAUACCGCCCAAGAGUUCAUAUCGACGGCGGUGUUUGGCACCUCGAUGUCGGCUCAUCACAUCCUGGGGCUGAAGUAGGUCCCAAGGGUAUGGCUGUUCGCCAUUUAAAGUGGUACGCGAGCUGGGUUUAGAACGUCGUGAGACAGUUCGGUCCCUAUCUGCCGUGGGCGCUGGAGAACUGAGGGGGGCUGCUCCUAGUACGAGAGGACCGGAGUGGACGCAUCACUGGUGUUCGGGUUGUCAUGCCAAUGGCACUGCCCGGUAGCUAAAUGCGGAAGAGAUAAGUGCUGAAAGCAUCUAAGCACGAAACUUGCCCCGAGAUGAGUUCUCCCUGACUCCUUGAGAGUCCUGAAGGAACGUUGAAGACGACGACGUUGAUAGGCCGGGUGUGUAAGCGCAGCGAUGCGUUGAGCUAACCGGUACUAAUGAACCGUGAGGCUUAACCUUACAACGCCGAAG
rnacentral:rRNA from 1 species